GGUGACGUACGGCACGGUGCGAGGGGGUCGUACGUCAUGCAGAGUGAUGGCGGAAUAUGCUGCAUGCGUGCGACCUCCUUACACAGCACUGGGUGUCUCC